CUAUACUAUAGUACAUCAAAGCAACGUUGAUCUCAUCUUUUACGUUGUUGGUUUAGAAUCUGAAAAUGAAUUACUUUUGAAAAAUGUUCUUAUGACCUUUUAUGAUGCCGUUUCCCUGAUUCUUAGACAAGAGGUUGAAAAAAAGAAUGUGAUGGAGCGUUUAAGUUCCAUUUAUUUAAUUGUCGAUGAACUUGUGGAUAAUGGAAUUAUUAUGGGGUGCGAUAGCGGACUACUCGCCUCCAAUUGUGAUAUUGGAGGCAUUACUUCAAGUCUUAGUGAAGAUCUUUCUACUGCCGAACAAAAAUUAGCGC